GAGUGGAGAAAAGGAGGAGGAAUAACAUUUGGUGAGGAAGCUGUAUCUGGCUUCAGGAGUGUGUUGACACAGCAAUGCAUCCCAGAUGGCAACCUAUUCCCUACAUACUACACUACUUUUAACCUGAGCCCUAUGGGGUGUUGUGUAGUAUGUAGGGAAUAGGGUGCCCUCUAGGACUCCACGUUGACGAAGUAGGAACUUCCUGCUUGGUUCAGCAGGAAACAGAGGGGAAGGAUCAGAGAAAACCAGCACACUCAGCAAAGAGAGAGAGAAGAGAACACGAAAAAAACAAGAAAGAAAGAAGAGUUAACCGUUAGCUAAGUGUUUGGAGGGGCUCAGAAUGAGAGAAUAGAGGCAGCAGAGGGAAGAGGGGAAUAGAUGAAGCUAGUUGUAAUCGUAGCUAGUAAGCUAAACCAAGACAGAAAGUAAGAGGUUUAUUAGUCUAACAGCUAGUUGUAAUCGUAGGUAGUAAGCUAAACCAAGACAGAAAGUAAGAGGUUGAUUAGUCUAACAGCUAGUUGUCAUCGUAGGUAGUAAGCUAAACCAAGACAGAAAGUAAGAGGUUUAUUAGUCUAACAGCUAGUUGUAAUCGUAGGUAGUAAGCUAAACCAAGACAGAAAGUAAGAGGUUGAUUAGUCUAACAGCUAGUUGUCAUCGUAGGUAGUAAGCUAAACCAAGACAGAGAGUAAGAGGUUUAUUAGUCUAACAGCUAGUUGUCAUCGUAGGUAGUAAGCUCAACCAAGACAGAAAGUAAGAGGUUUAUUAGUCUAACAGCUAGUUGUCAUCGUAGGUAGUAAGCUAAACCAAGACAGAAAGUAAGAGGUUGAUUAGUCUAACAGCUAGUUGUAAUCGUAGGUAGUAAGCUCAACCAAGACAGAAAGUAAGAGGUUGAUUAGUCUAACAGCUAGUUGUCAUCGUAGGUAGUAAGCUAAACCAAGACAGAAAGUAAGAGGUUUAUUAGUCUAACAGCUAGUUGUAAUCGUAGGUAGUAAGCUCAACCAAGACAGAAAGUAAGAGGUUGAUUAGUCUAACAGCUAGUUGUCAUCGUAGGUAGUAAGCUAAACCAAGACAGAAAGUAGGAGGGUGAUUAGUCUAACAGCUAGUUGAGUUAUUC